rnacentral:tRNA from 1 species
UCCCUGGUGGUCCAGGGGCUAAGACUCUGCGCUUGUAAGGCAGGGGAAUGGGUUCAAUCCCCGGUUAGGGAA